UUAUGCAAGAGUAUGUGAUUUCAUUGGUGGUUUUAUGCGCGUUUGCGUGCGUAUUAACUCGAUCCGUCUCUCCGCAGAGUAAGUCAGUGUCGUCAACAGACAGCCAGGCGGUAGAGGAGCGCCAGGGUCCGUCGGGCGUCUACCCCACGCAGAGCAGCAGCGACGUCAAGAGACGACGCUGCGACGACAAAGAUUGCCCUCCGCAUUACGACAGUGAUGGUGAGAAGAGUGAAGACAACCUAGUGGUGGACGUGUCUAAUGAGGACCCGUCCUCUCCCGUGGGCAGUACCCCCCGCUCUCCUCAUGGUAAUGGCUUGGACAGAGUCCCCACGCUGAGGAAGGAGCUGCCCCGGUCCCCUUCGCCUACUGCCCCCAGCCCCCCUCUGGGCAAGGGCAAGGAUCCAGCACAGGUCCAGCCCAGCAUAGCCCCCAAACA
ensembl:lncRNA